GAUAACCACCCCAUGGUAGUCAACUGUUUGAAAAGUUACUUCAGCCCUUUGAUGUCAGCUCUUUCUGUCACCACAAAACACAAUUCAUCAAGUGUUGGUUGGUUUACCCACUAACAAUGAACACAAGCUAGUUUAGACUGCCAUGAGACAAGUU
rnacentral:ncRNA from 1 species